rnacentral:rRNA from 1 species
CGGGGAGGUAGUGACGAAAAAUAACGAUACGGGACUCAUCCGAGGCCCCGUAAUCGGAAUGAGAACAUUCUAAACCCUUUAACGAGAAUCAAUUGGAGGGCAAGUCUGGUGCCAGCAGCCGCGGUAAUUCCAGCUCCAAUAGCGUAUAUUAAAGUUGUUGCGGUUAAAAAGCUCGUAGUCGAAAUUGUGUCUCGCGCCGCCGGUUCAUCGUUCGCGGUGCUAACUGGCGUGUCGCGAGACGUCCUGCCGGCGGGCUUAGCUCGCAAGAGCGGUCCAACUUAAUCCCGCCGCGGUGCUCUUUACUGAGUGUCGAGGUGGGCCGGCACGUUUACUUUGAACAAAUUAGAGUGCUUAAAGCAGGCUCAAACUUCGCUUGAAUAUUGCGUGCAUGGAAUAAUGAAAGAGGACCUCGGUUCUAUUUUGUUGGUUUUCAGAACCACGAGGUAAUGAUUAACAGGAACGGAUGGGGGCAUUCGUAUUGCGACGUUAGAGGUGAAAUUCUUGGAUCGUCGCAAGACGGACAGAAGCGAAAGCAUUUGCCAAAAACGUUUUCAUUGAUCAAGAACGAAAGUUAGAGGUUCGAAGGCGAUCAGAUACCGCCCUAGUUCUAACCAUAAACGAUGCCAGCUAGCGAUCCGCCGACGUUCCUCCGAUGACUCGGCGGGCAGCUUCCGGGAAACCAAAGCUUUUGGGUUCCGGGGGAAGUAUGGUUGCAAAGCUGAAACUUAAAGGAAUUGACGGAAGGGCACCACCAGGAGUGGAGCCUGCGGCUUAAUUUG